rnacentral:rRNA from 1 species
UACGAAGGGUGCAAGCGUUAAUCGGAAUUACUGGGCGUAAAGCGUGCGUAGGCGGUGAGUUAAGUCUGUCGUGAAAUCCCCGGGCUCAACCUGGGAAUGGCGAUGGAUACUGGCUCGCUAGAGUGUGAUAGAGGAUGGUGGAAUUCCCGGUGUAGCGGUGAAAUGCGUAGAGAUCGGGAGGAACACCAGUGGCGAAGGCGGCUCACUGGCCCGUAACUGACGCUGAGGUGCGAAAGCGUGGGGAGCAAACAGG